rnacentral:lncRNA from 1 species
AAAUAAUAUGAUCACGGAUAAAUUUUAUGAUACACUUUUGGGUGAUCUCCUUUAAAGGUAUCGUUUUUACCCAUUUAGUGAAAAAAUCAGUUGCAACUAUAACAAAAGUAUGUUGCUUGAACGAUGGAGGAUAAAUAUUCCCUAUCAGGUCUAUCGCCCAACCCUUGAACGGCCAGAAUUUGAUAAUGGGUGCCAUCUCUCUCGCUGGCGCCUUUUGUAUUGGACCAUGCUUUUGGUAUGCUAGACAACUCUUCGCGUGUUGAACACAUGAUUCUCCCAUCUUGGGCAAAAAAUAUCCAUUCCUAAUAAUUAAUCAUCUCAUCUUUUGGCCAGCUUGAUGAGCUCCACAUAUCCCUUCAUGCACUUCAGCCAUGAUUGUUCUAACUUCUUGCAAACUUACACAUUUUAGUAAUAUACCAUCAGAGCGUUUCUUAAACAACUCUUCAUCUAUCAAUAUAUAGUUUAGCAAACGCAACUUCAUCUUUCUAUUACCUCCUUUAUUAGGUUCUUUAAGGAACUUUUUAAUCUCUGCCCUUCAAUCUAUUGCAUCUCCAUCUUGUAUGUAAUGAAUUUCAAUCAUUCUCGCCCUUCUUUGGACUACGGGCAAUAUUAUUCCAUAUUCAUAAGUAGAUUUUCAAUUUAAAGCCUUUGAAUACCCUGAGGCCAUCUAGGCCAACUCAUUUGCUAUGUCAUUAUAUAUCCUAUUAACACAUUAAAGCUCUACUUGGUCGAAUUCUCC